rnacentral:rRNA from 1 species
AACGAACGCUGGCGGCAUGCCUAACACAUGCAAGUCGAACGAGACCUUCGGGUCUAGUGGCGCACGGGUGCGUAACGCGUGGGAACCUUCCCUUAGGUUCGGAAUAACUCCCCGAAAGGGGUGCUAAUACCGGAUAAUGUCUUCGGACCACAGAUUUAUCGCCUUUGGAUGGGCCCGCGUUGGAUUAGCUAGUUGGUAGGGUAAAAGCCUACCAAGGCGACGAUCCAUAGCUGGUCAGAGAGGAUGAUCAGCCACACUGGGACUGAGACACGGCCCAGACUCCUACGGGAGGCAGCAGUGGGGAAUAUAGGACAAUGGGCGAAAGCCUGAACCAGCAAUGCCGCGUGAGUGAUGAAGGCCUUAGGGUAGUAAAGCUCUUUUACCCGGGAUGAUAAUGACAGUACCGGAAGAAUAAGCACCGGCUAACUCCGUG